GGUAGUGACGAAAAAUAACGAUACGGGACUCAUCCGAGGCCCCGUAAUCGGAAUGAGUACACUUUAAAUCCUUUAACGAGGAUCCAUUGGAGGGCAAGUCUGGWRCCAGCAGCCGCGGUAAUUCCAGCUCCAAUAGCGUAUAUUAAAGUUGUUGCGRUUAAAAAGCUCGUAGUUGAAUCUGUGUGUCACGAUGCUGGUUCACCGCUCGCGGUGUUUAACUAGCAUGCCRUGAGACGUCCUACCGGUGGGCUUAGCUCUUCGGGGCGGUCCAACUAAUAUCCCAUCGCGGUGCUCUUCAUUGAGUGUCGAGGUGGGCCGGUACGUUUACUUUGAACAAAUUAGAGUGCUUAAAGCAGGCUAUCUUCGCCUGAAUACUGUGUGCAUGGAAUAAUGGAAUAGGACCUCGGUUCUAUUUUGUUGGUUUUCGGAACCCCGAGGUAAUGAUUAAUAGGGACAGAUGGGGGCAUUCGUAUUGCGACGUUAGAGGUGAAAUUCUUGGAUCGUCGCAAGACGGACAGAAGCGAAAGCAUUUGCCAAAAAUGUUUUCAUUAAUCAAGAACGAAAGUUAGAGGUUCGAAGGCGAUCAGAUACCGCCCUAGUUCUAACCAUAAACGAUGCCAGCUAGCGAUCCGCCGAAGUUCCUCCGAUGACUCGGCGGGCAGCUUCCGGGAAACCAAAGCUUUUGGGUUCCGGGGGAAGUAUGGUUGCAAAGCUGAAACUUAAAGGAAUUGACGGAAGGGCACCACCAGGAGUGGAGCCUGCGGCUUAAUUUGACUCAACACGGGAAACCUCACCAGGCCCGGACACCGGAAGGAUUGACAGAUUGAUAGCUCUUUCUUGAUUCGGUGGGUGGUGGUGCAUGGCCCGUUCUUAGUUGGU
rnacentral:rRNA from 1 species